AUUGAACGCUGGCGGCAGGCCUAACACAUGCAAGUCGAACGAGUGGCGGACGGGUGAGUAAUGUCUGGGAAACUGCCCGAUGGAGGGGGAUAACUACUGGAAACGGUAGCUAAUACCGCAUACCAUCGGAUGUGCACAGAUGGGAUUAGCUUGUAGGUGAGGUAACGGCUCACCUAGGCGACGCUCCCUAGCUGGUCUGAGAGAAUGACCAGCGACACUGGAACUGAGACACGGUCGAGACUCCUACUGGAGGCAGGAGUGGGGAAGAUUUCACAUUGGGCGCAAGCCUGAUGCAGCCGUGCCGCGUGUAUGAAGAAGGCCUUCGGUUUGUUUAGUACUUUCAGCGGGGAGGCGUUACCCGCAGAAGAAGCACCGGCUAACUCCGGGCCAGCAGCCGCGGUAAUUC
rnacentral:rRNA from 1 species